rnacentral:lncRNA from 1 species
UGAAAGAAAACAAUAACUCCACUGUAACUUCCACCUCUCCUUAAAUAGAUAGCACCGCACCAGCAGUCUUUACUGUCACCAGUCAACCUCCUUUUUCCCCCUUCCCCGCCCCUCAACACCUGUCCCGCGCUACCCACUCACAUCGACCCACUGACCGGGAGCGCGCACCAGCCGAAGAUGUGAUUGCGGCUUCACGGAUAGCGAGAGAGGGAGUCCUGUACCGCAUUACACGAAAUAACGAGCACAGGCACACACUUACACACAUGCUACUGCAGAGCUGACACACACAGCGGAGAAAAGAGAGGGAACAGCGAAAUAUCUGCGGUCACGCCACUGGCACGCAGGUGCUGCUGUUUCAUUUUCUAAACAGUGUUGUUCUCUGCUGACGUGACUGGUGUCAGAACUUCUCUAGUCUCUGUGCUGAAUGGCUUUUGGAUGUUGAUGGCUGACAUCUGACCUCGAGCAAGUCCAACAUUACAGCUUUGCUCCAAUUGACCCUGCUCCCCAGGGUAGUGAAAUGAACCCUGUAACCACGCAGAAUGAACCCUGUAACCACGCAGAAUGAACCCUGUCACCACGCAGAAUGAACCCUGUCACCACGCAGAAUGAACCCUGUCACCACGCAGAAUGAACCCUGUCACCACGCAGAAUGAACCCUGUCACCACGCAGAAUGAACCCUGUCACCACGCAGAAUGAAUCCUGUAACCACGCAGAAUUAAUACAUCGCAAAUAGACGUUCAUCCAUAAUACAUCGAAUUUCAAAGGGAAACUAUGAGAUCUUGUUGAUGAUUUGGCUGUGUCUCUGGAGCUGUGGACGUGGCAGGGUCGGAUAAGCCUGCAUAUAAGGAAUAACUUUGGGAAUAACUUUGGAAAUAAUGCUGGGAAUAAUGCUUAUACUGAUGUCUUUAGCAGUUGGACUAAAGCAAACAUAGCCUUUCAUAGUCUGAGAGAAAAAUAUAUUUUGGAAUACAAGUUAUGGAUUUAAUAUAAGUACAAGGUUUUUAUUUAUGUACACAGAUACUGUAUUUUAUUUUAGCAUCAUUAAACAUUUGAUCAUUUACUCAACGACAGCAGGCCUUACAUCGUGUGAAUUUCCAUGAAAAAGCUACAGUCAGAAUGUCUAGUAAUGAGUUUACAUCAGUUUGAGAUGUUACUGCAUCAUAGACCAUGUUAUAUAUCAACAACUCUUCAGACCCAUACAUUCUAAUGUCAUUUGUCCAAGAUGAAGUUACCGUUCGG